rnacentral:rRNA from 1 species
UAUCUCUGUAGAGUCUGCAUAUCAAUAAGCGGAGGAAAAGGAAACUAACUAGGAUUCCCUUAGUAACGGCGAGUGAAGCGGGAAGAGCUCAAAUUUGAAAUCUUCAAGGUUUUACCUUGACGAAUUGUAGUUUAAAGAAGUGUUUUCUGUUGGUGUUUUGGUAAAAGUUCUUUGGAAUAGGACAUCAUAGAGGGUGAGAAUCCCGUAUUUGACCAUUACUUCCAGCGUUGUGAUACACUUUCAAAGAGUCGGAUUGUUUGGGAAUGCAGUCCAAAAUGGGUGGUAAAUUUCAUCUAAAGCUAAAUAUUGGCGAGAGACCGAUAGCGAACAAGUACCGUGAGGGAAAGAUGAAAAGAACUUUGAAAAGAGAGUUAAACAGUACGUGAAAUUGUCAAAAGGGAAGCGUUUGACACCAGUGUUGUUUUCUCGAAAAUCAAUUAAAAAGAGUUGGAUUUUGUAUUGUUAAGACCUUAUCAGCUUACUGUACUUUUUUCUUGCUCUUUUUAAUGCACUUUUCGUUUAACAAGUCAACAUCAAUUUCUUUUGUUGUAAAAGGGUCAUUGGAAGGUGGCUUUCACUUCGGUGAAAGUGUUUAUAGCCUUUGGCUUCUACAAUCGGAGAGAUUGAGGUCUGCAGCGUAGAUCCUUCGGGGUUAGAUACGUAGAUGCUAAGUUAUAGUUUUUUAUAGACAACUUGUUGACUAUGAUUAAUCAUGUAGCUUACUCGUUUACGCUAUUUUACCUACGCUUAGGAUGUUGAUCUCUCACAGUCGAGC